UAGGGAAUCUUCGGCAAUGGGGGCAACCCUGACCGAGCAACGCCGCGUGAGUGAAGAAGGUUUUCGGAUCGUAAAGCUCUGUUGUUAAAGAAGAACACGUAUGAGAGUAACUGUUCAUACGUUGACGGUAUUUAACCAGAAAGUCACGGCUAACUACGUGCAG
rnacentral:rRNA from 1 species